rnacentral:RNase_P_RNA from 1 species
CCUGUGCAUCGCUCCACCGUUCCGCUCGCCGUAAGGCGUCCGGAGAGGAAAGUCCGGGCAGCGUAGGGCAACGUGCUUCCUAACGGGAAGGGGUGUCACUGGGAACGGUGGCACUACAGAAAGUGCCGCAGAAAGGGAGACCGCCGACCCGCCGCAAGGCGGAGGUAAGGAUGAAAAGGUGGGGUAAGAGCCCACCAGUGCCGGUGGCAACAUCGGCAGCUUGGUAAACCUCACGAGCUGUAAGACCAAAUAGGCCAGGGUGCCUGGUUCCGCAAGGUUCCGGGCUAAGGGUUGUCCGCUCGAUCCUGGCGGGUAGGUUGCUUGAGCCUGUCGGUGACGGCAGGCCUAGAUAGAUGGUGGAGGUCCACAGGCCGGGGCGCAAGCCCUGAACGUGUGGAUACAGGACCCGGCUUAUAGAUGCACAGGCCAU